ACGGGAGGUAGCAGCUAAGAAUAUUCCGCAAUGGACGAAAGUCUGACGGAGCGACGCCGCGUGGAUGAUGAAGGCCGAAAGGUUGUAAAAUCCUUUUGAACUGGACGAAUAAGCGGUGCAGGUAAUGGCGGUGUGGUGACGGUACAGUUUGAAUAAGCAACGGCUAAUUACGUGCCAGCAGCCGCGGUAACACGUAAGUUGCGAGCGUUGUUCGGAAUUAUUGGGCGUAAAGGGCAUGUAGGCGGUUACCUAAGCUUGGUGUGAAAGGCAGAAGCUCAACUUCUGGACUGCAUUGAGAACUGGGUAGCUAGAGUUACUGAAGUGGAAUCAGAAUUCCAGGUGUAGGGGUGAAAUCUGUAGAUAUCUGGAAGAAUACCAAUGGCGAAGGCAGGUUUCAGGCAGAUAACUGACGCUGAGGUGCGAAGGUGCGGGGAGCAAACAGGAUUAGAUACCCUGUA
rnacentral:rRNA from 1 species